rnacentral:piRNA from 1 species
UAUGUACAUGGUAGGUGCAGAUUCAUGU